rnacentral:misc_RNA from 1 species
AACGCACAUUGCGCCCCCUGGUAUUCCGGGGGGCAUGCCUGUCCGAGCGUCAUUGCUGCCCUCAAGCCCGGCUUGUGUGUUGGGCCACGUCCCCCCGGGGACGGGCCCGAAAGGCAGCGGCGGCACCGCGUCCGGUCCUCGAGCGUAUGGGGCUUCGUCACCCGCUCUUGUAGGCCCGGCCGGCGCUGGCCGACCCCCAACCAUUCUUCUCAGGUUGACCUCGGAUCAGGUAGGGAUACCCGCUGAACUUAA